UACGUAGGUCCCGAGCGUUAUCCGGAAUGAUUGGGCGUAAAGGGUGCGUAGGCGGCCUGCUAAGUCUGGAGUGAAAGGUACCGGCUCAACCGGUACAGGCUCUGGAAACUGGCGGGCUAGAGAGCAGGAGAGGGCGGUGGAACUCCAUGUGUAGCGGUAAAAUGCGUAGAUAUAUGGAAGAACACCAGUGGCGAAGGCGGCCGCCUGGCCUGUUGACUGACGCUGAGGCACGAAAGCGUGGGGAGCAAAUAGG
rnacentral:rRNA from 1 species